CGACGGCUUGGCUACAGCACGGCGGAGUGUAGCUUGCAAAACAAAGACUUCACUCAAACCUCGCCUUAAGUCGGCCAUCUUGAAACUCUGGCUUCCGGCUACACUGCGUUGCACAGGGACCGCUAGCUUUCGCUAACCGCUAGAUUCGCUAGGCUAGCUUCGCUCGAUUCGCUACGUGCUAUGCAACACGCCACUGUACACCUGUGGCUGGCACAGAACGGUGACCUGAAGUUCACGAGUCGACACAGCGAGUGGCCGAGCCUCACCUGCUCAAUGAGUAAUACGUGUUUUGUUUUUGUUUUGUUUGUUUGUUUUGUUUUUUGUUUUUUUGUUUUUUGUUUUGUUGGUUUUUUUUUUUUUUUGUUUUUUUUUUUUUUUGUAAGAGAGCUAGAAGAGAAAAGGAGGAACAGGGUAAGACAAAAUAAUUAACCGCCUCCAGGCAGAGGUGGACUUGCCAGGGAGACCCGGCAAGUGGCGACACAAGGUGUGGAGUGGAGGCUGCGUCCUCCUGUACAGCUGUUACGUUGUCAGUACUUCCACACCUGAGCGAGUGACAAGAACCGUAUGCUCAAACUGAGCUGACCAGCUGUUGUCUGUAGUUACAGCUGUCCACCCAUCCUGUAAGAUCCGUAUCUCAGGGGAUCCCAUGCAGAUGAUUGGCUCUGCAGCAUAAUCAAUAUUUAUGUUAUCCAAGACAGGUUGUAUCCUGGCUUUUGUGGGUACCAAGGCCGGCGUCAGCAAGAUUGUAUUAAACGCUCACUCGCCAAGCCAUUACCAAAGCAAAGACCACGAAUGCCCUCGUAACUGCCAGGUGAAAAUCAGUUGCCUUAAAUUUGCACGCUUGCCAGACAUAGCAGUAGCUACUCGUUGUCACUGACAACUAUUUUCUUGUGUAAUUACUAUGCAUGUAUUCCAAAAGUAGACCUUUUGAUUAAUCAAAUUGAAACAGUAACCUCCCCAAUUAUUAAGUACUGUCACGUACAAAAUCCACACAUUAGGGAUGUCAGUCAUGAAGGCUAACCCACUGCUUUUCAGUAUUAUACAUCAGUGCAACUCUCAUGUCCUAGCCAUAUGCAGCUGAAAACAUACAAUUUCUUUUCUGAAACUGCACAAUACUUUCAACACAGAAUUUUGAUACAACAAAUUUUUCAAUAUUUUUUUUCACCAAAGCCCUAGUUGAUCCUAACUAGAGCUCAAUGUCAUGACAAAGCAACAAAAGGACUCAAUGUAACAAAUUUUUCAACGCAACAAAGUUCAAUUCCAAAGUAUUCAAUAAAAUAACAUUUCAUUACAAUUGUCUUGAGAAUGCCAGGAAUCAGACAUUCAUUUAAGCAACUGAUAGUUUGUUCUUAACGUUUUUGAGGUCCGAUCAGGUUAUUAUAGGUGGUGUGCCCACUUUGGAAGUCAACUGUAUCUAAAGUAGGAGGCUUUGCGCUUGUUUCCUUUCUGCAAAUGGCUACAUGUGAUAUAUUUUUCAAUUGUCUUUUUUUUUUUGAAAUGCACUCCUUGUGAUUUCCUUAAUUCAAAGUGUAUCUCAAUCUUUUCAGAGUGUUGUUCUAUUUACAUUAAUUUACACCUUAUAAUGUUUAUGAUGUAUUCAUAGUAAUUGCAAAAUGAGGGAAAUCAGAACAUGUCUGUAAUGUUUGGCUGGACAUUUCCUUAAAAGUAGUUAUCAUGGUAGUAAAAAAUUGGUACAGGCAUUCCAGUUGGACAGAGGAACCAUAUCUAAUUAUUGUAGCUAUUCUUAAAAACCAAUGUUCGAAAGAAUGCUUCACAUAAGGAUUCUUACACUACCUUCAACAUACAGACAUUCCUCACUUAACAAAAGACUACUGUUGCACAACUUGGUUAAUAAACAAACUGGCUGACCAAUAUUUCAGGCAGAAUGUCAUUGGGUUUGCAUGAACCAUCUUCAGAUAUUGUUUUAAUGUUACAUUUCCAUCACUAAUAAUAUUUUUAAUAUAUGUUCGUACAGAACUGCACUGUGAUGAACCUGAAGCCCUUUUUAAUGACCAAAUUGUCUAGAAGCGAAAGAAGAAAUCAGAACAGAAUUAUAACUGGACACCUGUUGCUUGGGAACCAGAUAACCUAGCCUGGAUGAAAAUGACUAGAGACUGUUGUCAGAGCUCUUCCUAACAGGUCUAACAUUGCAUGGAAGACAGUGGCGUAGCUUCCAUCUAAAAUUCCCCAGAUCCCCAAUCUAGAAACUCCCAAAGCUGCUCCUAUAUACCUCACUUCAUUCAAAAAUCUAUCAAAUCAGGCUUGAGUGAUGAGGACAAGCCAUGUGAUAAUGAUGAUCAAUAGCGUUUUUUAAACCUUCGCCAGAGAAUGUAAGACAACUUCUCCUGUUCUAGUGUAACUACCAACAAUAGGAAUGACCUUUGUGUCUGGAAGAUGCUCUGCUGACAACUUCCUCCAAAGAUCUGUCCAAACAAAAAUUACAGACUUUUUUUGUAAAACAGUAAGUUCUGGUUUCUCUUACUUUGCAACCAAUGCGAUAUAUGCCACUUUUAUGACUUGCUCUUUGUAAAAUAGAAUAAUUUCAAUUUAAAAUUGCGAAUAUUUUUGUUGUUUCAAAAUGAGUGAGAAAGCGAUGCUUUCAAACUUCUCACUCUUGUGUUUCCAUUUAGUUUUGUGUACUUUUGAAUGCUAAAGAAGAUUAAAGUACAAAAUGCUCACUGAAUGUAAAGAAUCUUAAUGUCAUGAAAUAUUCAAUAAAAACUAAAAAAAAGUUUUCUGUAGUCAGAAUUGAUUUGUUACAUGAAUAUCAAUGUACUUGUCCUU
rnacentral:lncRNA from 1 species